rnacentral:rRNA from 1 species
CCUACGGGAGGCAGCAGUGGGGAAUAUUGGACAAUGGGGGGAACCCUGAUCCAGCGACGCCGCGUGAGUGAAGAAGUAUUUCGGUAUGUAAAGCUCUAUCAGCAGGGAAGAAAGAAAUGACGGUACCUGACUAAGAAGCCCCGGCUAACUACGUGCCAGCAGCCGCGGUAAUACGUAGGGGGCAAGCGUUAUCCGGAUUUACUGGGUGUAAAGGGAGCGUAGACGGCGAUGCAAGUCUGAAGUGAAAGGCGGGGGCCCAACCCCCGGACUGCUUUGGAAACUGUAUGGCUGGAGUGCAGGAGAGGUAAGUGGAAUUCCUAGUGUAGCGGUGAAAUGCGUAGAUAUUAGGAGGAACACCAGUGGCGAAGGCGGCUUACUGAACUGUAACUGACGUUGAGGCUCGAAAGCGUGGGGAGCAAACAGGAUUAGAUACCCCAGUAGUC